AACGAACGCUGGCGGUAUGCUUAACACAUGUAAGUCGAACGGGUGUAGCAAUACAUCAGUGGCAAACGGGUGAGUAAUACAUCGGAACGUACCCAAUUGUGGGGGAUAACACACCGAAAGAUGUGCUAAUACCGCAUACGACAUGAGGGUGAAAGGGGGGGAUCGCAAGACCUCUCGCAGUUGGACCGGCCGAUGUCGGAUUAGCUAGUUGGUAGGGUAAAGGCCUACCAAGGGCACGAGCCGUAGCUGGUCUGAGAGGACGACCAGCCACACUGGGACUGAGACACGGCCCAGACUCCUACGGGAGGCAGCAGUGGGGAAUUUUGGACAAUGGGGGCAACCCUGAUCCAGCCAUUCCGCGUGAGUGAAGAAGGCCUUCGGGUUGUAAAGCUCUUUCGGCAGGAACGAAAAGGUGGGUCCUAAUACGAUCUGCUCAUGACGGUACCUGAAGAAGAAGCACCGGCUAACUACGUGCCAGCAGCCGCGGUAA
rnacentral:rRNA from 1 species